AGGGUUCGAGUUCUGGCUCAGGAUGAACGCUGGCGGCGUGCAUAACACAUUCAAGUCGAACGGUGAAGCCUUCGGGGAUGGAGCAGUGGCGGACGGGUGAGUAACGCGUGAGCAACCUGCCGUAUAUGGGGGAUAACGACAGGGAAACUUGUAGCUAAUACCGCAUAACGCAUAGGACCGCAUGAUUCUUAUGCCAAAGAUUUAUUGCUGUACGAUGGGCUCGCGUAUGAUUAGACAGUUGGCAGGGUAACGGCCUACCAAAUCAACGAUCAUUAGCCGAACUGAGAGGUUGAACGGCCACAUUGGAACUGAGAAACGGUCCAGACUCCUACGGGAGGCAGCAGUGGGGAAUAUUGGGCAAUGGGCGAAAGCCUGACCCAGCCGACGCCGCGUGAGGGAAGAAGGUCUUCGGAUUGUAAACCUCUUUCAGCAGGGAAGAAGACAGUGACGGUACCUGCAGAAGAAGUCACGGCUAACUACGUGCCAGCCGCUGC
rnacentral:rRNA from 1 species